UAUUUUUUUUAAAUUAGAAGAAUUAAGAUUUUUGAGUGUCUCAAAAGUUGCGUGGGUAUAUUUUAGUGACCUCUUCAGUGGGACAAAGGAGGCUGCGUAUCGAUCUGAAAACACCUUUCCACUGAGGCUCGUGGUGAAGGGGAGGGGCUCCGAAUCUACGAGAGGCUCCAUUAACAGCCCAUAUGCACUCCAUCCUAACUAUUAUCCUGCAUAAAGUGUUUAUAAAGGGCGCACAGGCGGGCUAAUUUCACCUGAAAUGAGACGCCAUCAUGUCACCUGCAGCAGAGAAGAAGCCGAGGAAGAAGAAGGAGAAGGAGCUGGUGUUUUCAUGACAGAGGGUGUGGUGAUCGUCACAACACAACUUGGAUGGCAAGAGAAGUGGCUCAGUUCACACUGGAUGCGCUCGGACACUGGACUCACCAGGCUGUGGGCUCAAAGAGAUUUGGUGCGGAUCAUUUACACUAAACCGGAUUAGUCACAUUGGCCAACUCCAUCUGAUGUGGUCUGACGUGGCCAUGUGUGGAGAAAGUGUUCCAUAAGAUCUACAGGAUCUCACUGUCACAUCAGAAAAGACUUUAAAAACACACCUCGACGUUUGGAAUUUAGAUCCGAAGCUAUUUCCUCCCACAUCUCUGCCCUGACUUACACCUGCAAAUCCACCACCCUAACAACACCCGACAGAGAUGCAUCUUUUCUGUCGGGUAAAAAAGAAAAGAAAAGGUAAAUAAAAGAUACAAUUCUCUGAACUGGCCCCUCUGCUCAUUGCGUUUGCCCCAGUGGUCAAGGACACUGGUAUCAGUGGACGUCAGGUUAGGCCCCAUCCAUCAGAGGGCUUUGGGUAAUGGAAUCAACCAGUGACAAUGAUCAUCAGCACUGCAAACAAUGGUCCA